GAGAGUAGGGUUACUAUAUUCUUAUAAGUAUAGAGUGUAAUAUACCAGAUUUUUAAUAUAAAAGUAAGUGUAAAUAAAAAUAGUGUAAGAUACUAUUUUUAUUGGACUUAGAGAAGUAAAAUAUAAGUCGGAAAUGACUUAUGUUGAAAUUGGAAUGGAAACAGAAGAUUUAAAAUUUUCUGUAAGAAACGGGGCUGAUAUUUUAGCAGAAAAUUAUAAAAAUUGGAGAAUAUGUCGGAAUUAUUUUUAUGAGGCGAGAUUUAAAGUUUCAUGUCAUUCCGACACCCGAAAACUAGAAAAUAAAAUCUGACUGCUAUCUGCUACAGAUUCGGGUCGGUAGAGCUUUUGGUGACAAAAAAUGGUCCAAACUGAAAAGUUAAGAUAUCGUUCUUCUUAUUAAUUUUAACCGAGCCUAACUGUUAAAUUUGAAAGCAAACGGAUAUUCAGAAGGGCUCCGACAAGAGUAUCAGAUUUUGAAUUGCUAAACUGAAAAUUUUAUUAGUGUUGGGGGACCAAAAUGUGACGAUAAUCCCAGCUUUUGUGAGGGGGUUUUUGGCAAUUGUUUGAACUUAUCCUUUAACCCCAGCACCUCAGCCCUUCCAUAUGUAUUAGACCCUCUCUCCUCACCUUUUCGUUUGUUUCUUUCUUACUCUCUUUCUCUUUAAACCCUAAAGU
rnacentral:lncRNA from 1 species